UUGAAAUCAGAUCCUUUAUCUCUAUUUUGUUGUAUACCUUUUUAGACAUAAAGGCUAUUCAUCAGCUGUGUGUCGCACCUGACUAACAAGGUUUCAUAGUAGAUGAAGAAACACCAUUCUGGCUCCUGCUUUUUCCUGCUCCUGCUUUUUCAUGCAUGUUCUUAAAGAUUUUUUUUUUUUCUCCACAAGGGGUCCAGUUACAAUGGAGCUCCUGCCUUUUAUGCUUGCUUAACUUGUUAUUCAGAACUCUGCUGCCAAGGGCAGAGUCGGCACCAGCUGACAGAGGGGAUCCAUCUGAGGAUGUCUACUGAAGGAUUUGAAGCAAUGCAAUUACCAACAACGAAGCAACCAUACAAAAAAGUCAAAAAGCUAUGUACUGUAUAAACUUUUGAUACGCUAUGAUUACACUGAAACUACUCGUGAUGAAACUUGAACUGAAAAUGAACUUUUGAUGUAUAUUAUGCGUUUAAGAGAAAUAUAGAACUAAGCCUGGUCUAUAUUAUAACUACCUAACCUAAUCACUGGGAAAGGUGGACCACCCAUGUGAAUCCUACUGUACUAUCUAUUGUACUGUUUAACACUGAAUUCAGUACAGCUGUAUACUGCAGUAUUAUUCACAUAGGGAGACUUUUGGUUGUCUGUAUUGCUUGGUUUGGUGGUAAAAAACACCAGGAAAAUGAAGAAAUUCAAUUAUUUCAAGGCAAAAAGCAUACUUUCCUAAUGUUAAAGACAAUAAAAACAGCAAAACUUGUAACUGAA